rfam:Schistosoma margrebowiei strain Zambia genome assembly, scaffold: SMRZ_scaffold0000085
AGUUUCCUGAACCUGUGCUGAGAUUUUGUUAGACGCCAGACUAUCAAGAUUGAUUAGACUCUAAAGAUAAGUGAAGCA